rnacentral:rRNA from 1 species
GAUGAACGCUGGCGGCGUGCCUAAUACAUGCAAGUCGAGCGAACAGACGAGGAGCUUGCUCCUCUGACGUUAGCGGCGGACGGGUGAGUAACACGUGGAUAACCUACCUAUAAGACUGGGAUAACUUCGGGAAACCGGAGCUAAUACCGGAUAAUAUAUUGAACCGCAUGGUUCAAUAGUGAAAGACGGUUUUGCUGUCACUUAUAGAUGGAUCCGCGCCGCAUUAGCUAGUUGGUAAGGUACGGCUUACCAAGGCAACGAUGCGUAGCCGACCUGAGAGGGUGAUCGGCCACACUGGAACUGAGACACGGUCCAGACUCCUACGGGAGGCAGCAGUAGGGAAUCUUCCGCAAUGGGCGAAAGCCUGACGGAGCAACGCCGCGUGAGUGAUGAAGGUCUUCGGAUCGUAAAACUCUGUUAUUAGGGAAGAACAAAUGUGUAAGUAACUAUGCACGUCUUGACGGUACCUAAUCAGAAAGCCACGGCUAACUACGUG